AAAUAAUUGCUUCAGGGUUGCUUUUUCCCGAUGGGUAUGUCUGCAAAAUAAAUAACAGUUAAAUAGGUCAUUGGGUAACUUAAUACGAAUUCCGUUCAGCAGCUGUAAAAGUUAUAGUAGGUGACAUUUUUAAGUUUCACUUUUACUCAAAACAUAAAGUACAUUUAGGAUUACGGACUACUAGACCUCCUAAGACAAAUCUCACCACUUUACAGACUCUGGGACAGAAGAAGAAGAAAUAAAAAAAUGUAAAAAAAAAAGAGCAUUCGUUUUCGACUUUUCAUAGUCCACAAACUUGAUCAGCUAAUCGGUCAAUCUAUAUGGGAGAGUGAAAUAUUUUUGGCAGUUUAUAGGUAUAUA